GAGCAAUGAUGAACCUUUUGUUUGCCUGAUUUCAGAUAAUGAAGGCUUCUACACUUGAACUGAGCUCA
rnacentral:snoRNA from 1 species